rnacentral:rRNA from 1 species
GAUGACCAUAGCAAGUCGGUACCACCCCUUCCCAUCCCGAACAGGACCGUGAAACGACUUUGCGCCGAUGAUAGUGCUGCAACCAGUGUGAAAGUAGGUUAUCGUC